AGCAGCAGCCGCGGUAAUACGUAGGGUGCAAGCGUUAAUCGGAAUUACUGGGCGUAAAGCGUACGCAGGCGGUUAUAUAAGUCAGAUGUGAAAUCCCCGGGCUCAACCUGGGAACUGCAUUUGAGACUGUAUGGCUAGAGUGUGUCAGAGGGGGGUAGAAUUCCACGCGUAGCAGUGAAAUGCGUAGGGAUGUGGAGGAAUACCGAUGGCGAAGGCAGCCCCCUGGGCCAAUACUGACGCUCAUGCACGAAAGCGUGGGGAGCAAACAGGAUUAGAUACCCCUGUAGUCCCUGUCUCUUAUAC
rnacentral:rRNA from 1 species